rnacentral:rRNA from 1 species
UAAUACCUGAUAAGCCCACGGAGUCUUUGGAUUCUGCGGGAAAAGGGGGGGACCUUCGGGUCUUCUGUUGUCGGAUGAGUCCGCGUACCAUUAGCUAGUUGGUGGGGUAAAGGCCUACCAAGGCGACGAUGGUUAGCUGGUCUGAGAGGAUGAUCAGCCACACUGGAACUGAGACACGGUCCAGACUCCUACGGGAGGCAGCAGUGGGGAAUUUUGCGCAAUGGGGGAAACCCUGACGCAGCAACGCCGCGUGAGUGAUGAAGGCCUUCGGGUCGUAAAGCUCUGUCAGAGGGAAAGAAGUGUGCUAUGGCUAAUAUCCACGAUACUUGACGGUACCCUCAAAGGAAGCACCGGCUAACUCCGUGCCAGCAGCCGCGGUAAUACGGGGGGUGCAAGCGUUGUUCGGAUUUAUUGGGCGUAAAGCGCGUGUAGGCGGUUUGUUAAGUCUGUUGUGAAAGCCCUGGGCUCAACGCGGGAAGUGCACUGGAUACUGGCAAACUUGAAUACGGGAGAGGAGAGUGGAAUUCCUGGUGUAGGAGUGAAAUCCGUAGAUAUCAGGAGGAACACCGGUGGCGAAGGCGGCUCUCUGGACCGAUAUUGACGCUGAGACGCGAAAGCGUGGGUAGCAAACAGGAUUAGAUACCCUGAUAGUCCACGCCGUAAACGAUGAGUACUAGGUGUCGCGGGUA